rnacentral:rRNA from 1 species
AGUAACGCGUGGGCAACCUGCCCCAUAGAGGGGGACAACAGCUGGAAACGGCUGCUAAUACCGCAUAACAAGGAGAGAGCGCAUGUUCUUUUCUUCAAAGAUUUAUCGCUAUGGGAUGGACCCGCGUCUGAUUAGCUAGUUGGUGAGGUAACGGCUCACCAAGGCGACGAUCAGUAGCCGGCUUGAGAGAGUGAACGGCCACAUUGGGACUGAGACACGGCCCAGACCCCUACGGAAGGCAGCAG